rnacentral:tRNA from 1 species
GUUAAAAUGGCUGAGAUUAGGCGAUAAACUGUAAAUUUAUUUACGAGAAUUUUUCUCUUUUAACA